CCUAAAUUGACUUUACCACAAAUCUUUGUAGCAUAUCUUCAAAUCAUAAUUCUGUGGAGAAAAUAUGGUUCUAAUAAUUUUAGUUUUCUUGUGCACUUUUAAGAAGAGGAUGAAAAUAUUUACAUGCUCUUUUUCAUGAUUCAAAACUCAAAUUUAUCUUAGGAAAUAUUGUCCCAAAAAAUCAGUGAUAAUUAAUUUACAUUUAUUGAAAAUAUUGUCCAAGAACAUUAUGAAUGGGGCAUCUAUAACCAGCGGUAAGCUUGCAGCGGGUGACAAUUCAGUCGGCCGGACGGCAGGAUAUCUCCUUUAUUAACUACUGAAACUAACGCAAUAUGCAAGAAGAAUCGCUUGAAGAGAUUCCCCCAAAUGCGGUUCGACGAAAGCGCGAUUCAAAAUGGAAUGGAUGUUUUAGUCUUCAAGUAGAUUUGGAUCUUGCCCGUACUGGAUUUUCCCUUAGUAAAGGCAUCGAUAUUCGACCCAUAAUGGGAAUGGAGAGUAUAUUUUUAAGAAGCAUAUGGGACAAAAAUUGACGCAUUGAGCUACAUGAUUCAUAGGUAAUAAGUUCUUCCGACUUAUUCCUUCAUAUAUUUUAAAAUGCUACACAUAUUUGUGAUGAAUUCACUUUAGGUUGUAGGUCAUGAAGUUCUACCCUCUUCUGUUUAUUGAUUUCCAUCUAAUCAAUGUUGAUGUAUACUUCCUCUUUUGCGUUGAAUUUUGUUCCUUUGUAAAUUUGUUUUUGCGUUUGAUAUGUUCAAAUCACUCAGUAUAUUCUGCUUCAUUAUCUGGUCUUUUAUCUAUUCAUAUGCAAUAAUCUAGUUUCUUCCAUUUCCAUAGAAGGCACAACAAGUUAGUAUUUAUGAAACUAUAAGUAAUAUACUAUAGAAAUAAUAUAUGCAUCUCUCAAUUAACUUAUGAAAUAUCAAGUGUAAGAAAUUUAAAGUAUGUGUACUCUAUAGAUUCAUAAAUUCGACAUGAACUGAUGAAGACUAAGAUCACACAUAGAUUUUACUGCACCAACAAGAGUAAUGUAGAAACUAUAUUAAUCACUAGACAUUUAAUAUAUGAUUAAGCUAAACUCGAGGGAUUAUUCCAAAUAACCUUUUUAUUUGUUUUAGUGAGAUGUUGAUCUAUGUAUGAAAUUUCUCCAACGGAAGCACCAAUAGUAAGAAUAACACACAUUUUCCAUAUGUAGUUCCGCUAGUGUACAUAAUCGAGCAAAUACCAGUUAUCUUUUUAUGAUAAAGUUCAUGAUCAAAAAAUUAAUAUAUGGAGUGACAAAAUGCUUAAGUGAAGGGAGCAAUAACUAUUUAUCAAAAUGCUAAUCUUAACAUAAGACAUCUGCAUCAUUAUAAUUUGUUAUGAUCCUCUGUGUUCUUUGAAUUUCAAUGAAUAAAUAAUUCAGUUCUUAUCCAAAGUUUUGCAAUAUUCUUCAUGAUCUUGUUUUGAUGAAACUUAUCUCUAGAAAUAUUUAGAGAAAGUUCUUCAUAAUACUCUGUGGCCUUCACAAAUUAACCUUUUACAAUAAUCGGACGGUUGGAACAAAUAGGAUCUAGUUUUGAUGUACUUGAAAUAAAUAAUUCAUGAGUGUAAUUUUUCUUUUUCUUGCUACAUUAUAAAUACACACCUGUCCUAUAGUUGUCAGGCAUGUUGUUGUUGUAUGUUCAUAUGUACUUUUACAUGAACUAGUGGCUUAACAAAGGAACAACUGAUUAACAUUUUCCCUGCUGCAUGUUUUUUUUUCUGUACUUUCAAACAGUUUUCUGUAUAACUAUCUAUUACAUUGUUGUUUCUUGCACUUGGACUAACAAAUAUAAAUUGCUUAAUCGAGGAACAAUAAUUUAACUAGACUUCUAGCCACUACUGCACAACUUAUUCUUGAUUUAUUUUCACAUACUUUUCUGCACAACUAGGUGAAACUAAUCUUCGAUUGUUUUUUAAUCUUCUUUCUUUGUAUAGUUGAUAAGUAAAUGAAUGCGACUCCCACUUGAUGAGUGUAAGAUAACAUAUGUUUUCUUCUUUUUGUAGAUCAUUUCAAUAUGAAUUUGGAUACAUCUAAACCUUGUAGGCUCUUCUAAGCAUCAGAUCACAAUGAACUCGUCCAUAAUAUCUCCUACAUAUCUACAUUUUAUAACUCUUCAUAUGUUGUAGAAAAUGAUCAACAAGGUGCUAUAUCCAAUCAUUUGUGACCCCUAUUAUUUACAAAUAUCAAUUCUACCGACAUCUAGUUGUAACAUCACUUUUUUGACCUAAGAAAAAUACUUUGAGAUUUUGUCCAAGUUAGCAAUGAAUUCAUAAGUUUGUGAAAAUUCCCUAAAACAUUUAAAUAGCAAUUUCACAGACCUAAAAUCAACUUUGCAAAAGAGAAAAAUGUUAUGAAUAAAAUACAUCAAAGUGACCUUUGUAGGCAUGUUUAUGAAAACUGGAAUUUGGAAUUUGUAAUUUCAAGUGCAUUUUCAAUUAUUUGUUGUUGUGUUUU
rnacentral:lncRNA from 1 species